rnacentral:rRNA from 1 species
UACGAAGGGGGCUAGCGUUGCUCGGAAUCACUGGGCGUAAAGGGCGCGUAGGCGGCCUGAUCAGUCGGGGGUGAAAGCCUGUGGCUCAACCACAGAAUGGCCUCGAUACUGUCGGGCUUGAGACCGGAAGAGGUAAGUGGAACUGCGAGUGUAGAGGUGAAAUUCGUAGAUAUUCGCAAGAACACCAGUGGCGAAGGCGGCUUACUGGUCCGGAUCUGACGCUGAGGCGGCGAAAAGCGUGGGGAGCAAACAGG